rfam:Piscirickettsia sp. Y2 scaffold00001, whole genome shotgun sequence.
GUCCCACUGUCGUGUACGAGAUGAGGUAAACAUCUUGAGCCGAUAUCGCACAUGCCGGGAGUUGAACGUAGUGCUGUGAGCCUGCUUGCCUUUGAGUAAGACGCCUGAUGCCCUACAAGAGACACCCACCUAGUUUAACUGGGUUCAAUGCUGCGCACCUCAACGGCACGAUGGGGGACUU